GCAGGACCAAUUUGUAAGUCGCUCUGGAUAAGAGCGUCUGCUAAAUGACGUAAA
rfam:Salmo salar isolate Sally breed double haploid chromosome ssa17, whole genome shotgun sequence.